UUUAUGAUGUACAGACACCAAUAGGUGGAUUGUUAGGCUUGAGAAGAGAUGAAGGACGUGGCAAGCUGCGAUAAGCUCGGAGUAAGUGCAUGCGACUGUUGAUUCCGAGAUGUCCGAAUUAGUAUCUUAUACAAUGUAUACGCCAUUAUUGUAAUGAUAGUGGCGAUCGAACCGUGGGAAUUGAAGCAUCUUAGUACCACGUGGAAAAGAAAUCAAUGAGAUUUCCUUAGUAGCGGCGAGCGAAAUGGAAACAGCCCAAACCGAAUUUAUUAUGGUAACAUAAUAGAAAUGUGGGGUUUUGGUAUGAUUAUUAUAGUCCAAAAGCAUAAUCGAAGUAUUCUGGAAAGUAACGGUGUAGAGGGUGAUACCCCCGUAGAUGAAAUGUAAUUGGAUUUUUAUCAUUACCAGAGUAGUUGUCCUUGGCAGUGGGCAAUGAAUAUAGGUGAAAAUAGCAUCUAAGGCUAAAUAUUUCUCAAGACCGAUAGUGUAAUAGUACCGUGAGGGAAAACUGAAAAGUACCCCGGAAGGGGAUUGAAAAGUGUAUGAAACCUAUUGGUUACAUAAGUACAGAGCAUGGAAGAUGAUUUUUUAAAUUUGAUAUUUUAGUAAUAAAAUUGAUAAUUUAAAAGCCGAAUCAUCGGUGUUAUGUAUUCCGUCUAGAAACACGGGCCAGGGAGUUUACUAUCAUGGCAAGCUUAAGCUCUAAUAAAGCGUAGGCAAAGGGAAACCAAAUUUUCGCAACAGUAAUGUGAGGAAAAGCGUAUGAAAGUGCGUUAAGUCAUGGGAGUAAGACUAGAAGCCAGUCGAUCUAUUCCUGAGCAAGAUGAAGAUGAGCGAAAGCUCAUUGGAGGUCUGCAGCAGUUCUGACGUGCAAAUCGUUUGUGUGACUUGGGAAUAGGGGUCAAAAACCAAUCUAGACUGGCGAUUGCUAGUUCCAACCGAAGCGUCUCGUAGGGCGUACUCUGUUAAGAUGGCGUAUUCUGUAGAGCACUGAUAAUGUAGUAUGGGAAAGAAAUUUCUCACUCCAUAUUCAAACUCCGAAUGGAUAUGCAUCGUAGACGCAGGGAUACGGGUUCAUGUGACGUAAGGUUCAUGACCGAGAGGGGAUUAACCCAGACUAAAGUUAAGGUCCCGGAAUUUUUACUAAGUGUCAAGCAAAAGGGUGUAUUUAUGCCAAGACAGCAGGAAGGUAAGCUCAGAAGUAGCCAUCCUUUAAAAAGUGUGUAACAACUUACCUGCCAAGCGUAGAUGCCCCGAAAAUGGACGGGGCUAAAGUAAAAUACCGAUACUUUAGAUAAUUAUUAUAAUUAAUAAUUUAUGGUAGGUUGGCGUAGUGAUUGGGUAGAAGCAGGGUAGUGAUAUCCUGUGGACCGAUUUCUAUUGCAGAUCCUGGUAGUAGUAACAGCCUAGUAUGGUGAGAAUCCAUACCACCGCAAGCGUAAGGGUUUCCAGGCAAUGCGUUAUCAGCCUGGAGUUAGUCGAUCCUAAGAAUAAUCUUAACUGACUUAUUCGAAUGGGAAACUAGUUAAUAUUCUAGUACUAUAUAAUUGAUGUUUGAUCUAUACUUUAUGCUUUUGGAUAAGGAUUGUAUAAUUAUCGUUAUAUCCAACUAUUAUAAAAUUGGGGAGUGUCGUAAUGACGAGAACUAAUUUUAUGUAGGAGUGGCUUUGCGUUAGCAGAGUUUUCUUGAUUCCAAGAGACAAUGAAAAAUUGUAUGGUUAGUUGAUUGUAUAAUCGUACCGAGAUCCGACACAGGUGCGCUAGAUUAGUAAUCUAAGGUGCUACGGGUAUACCGUAGGCGAGGGAAUUCGGCAAAUUAGUCUUGUAGCUUAGGUAUAAGAGAUGCCUGCUGUUUUAAUGAAGAAUUGGAAUAGCAGGUUGCAAUGACAAGGGGGUUCCGACUGUUUAAUAAAAACACAGGCGACUGCUAGUCCGAAAGGAUUUGUAUAGUCGCUGAAUCCUGGCCGGUGCGGGUACCUAAAACUUGGGUUCAACCGAGCUAAGGGCCCGUUAACGCCGGGAGUAACUCUGACUCUCUUAAGGUAGCCAAAUGCCUUGUCGGGUAAGUUCCGACGCGCAUGAAUGGAACAACGAGAGCCCCACUGUCCCCGCCUACAACCCGGUGAAGCUACAUAAGGUGGACGAACAGUCCAUCAUCUUCCAUCGGGGAGAGAAGACCCCGUGGAGUUUUACUGCAGCUUGUACUUGUAAUAUAGUAAACAUUGCAUAGAGUAUCUGGGAGCCAUGCUUGAUGUUCUCUGGGAUGUCAAGAAGCGCCGAUGUAACACCAGACUUUGUUUACAGUAUUACUUAUCUAAUUUUAAUUAGAGACAUGUGCAGGUGGGCAGUUCGGCUGGGGCGGCACCCCUUUGAAAAGAUAUCAAAGGGGCCCAAAGUUCAGUUCAAACGGGACAGAAAUCCGUUGAAGAGGGCAAAGCCAUAAACUGGACUGACUGGAUUUCCAAACGCACGGAAUUCAGGGACGAAAGUCUGGCUUAGCGAUCCUUCGUGUGCCCACUAUUGGGGCCCGGAGGUGACAGAAAAAUUACCCCAGGGAUAACAGGCUUGUCGCGGGCGAGAGUUCCUAUCGACCCCGCGGUUUGGUACCUCGAUGUCGGCUUUUCCUAUCCUGGUCCUGCAGCAGGGGCCAAGGGUGAGGCUGCUCGCCUAUUAAAAGGGAACAUGAGCUGGGUUUAGACCGUCGUGAGACAGGUCGGUCUCUGCCUGAUGGAAGUGUGAUUGUUUGAGGGGAAGUUGCUCCUAGUACGAGAGGAACAGAGCAACGUGGCCGCUGGUCUACCGGUUGUCCGAUAGGGCAGGCCGGGCAGCUAAGCCAUUUGGACUAAGUGCUGAAAGCAUCUAAGCACGAAUUCCAUCCUGAAACGAGACAAUCUAUCGUAAGAUGAAGGUAUGCAGUAGAAGACUGCGUUGAUAGAAAAGAGGUGUAAACUACAAGUUUUUACGAGUAGUGUAGCCUGCUUUUACUAAUAUACCAAAACAUCAGUUG
rnacentral:rRNA from 1 species